GACGAACGCUGGCGGCGUGCUUAACACAUGCAAGUCGAACGGAAGGGCCCUGCUUUUGUGGGGUGCUCGAGUGGCGAACGGGUGAGUGACACGUGAGUAACCUGCCCUUGACUUUGGGAUAACUUCAGGAAACUGGGGCUAAUACCGGAUAGGAGCUCCUGCUGCAUGGUGGGGGUUGGAAAGUUUCGGCGGUUGGGGAUGGACUCGCGGCUUAUCAGCUUGUUGGUGGGGUAGUGGCUUACCAAGGCUUUGACGGGUAGCCGGCCUGAGAGGGUGACCGGCCACAUUGGGACUGAGAUACGGCCCAGACUCCUACGGGAGGCAGCAGUGGGGAAUAUUGCACAAUGGGCGGAAGCCUGAUGCAGCAACGCCGCGUGCGGGAUGACGGCCUUCGGGUUGUAAACCGCUUUCGCCUGUGACGAAGCGUGAGUGACGGUAAUGGGUAAAGAAGCACCGGCUAACUACGUG
rnacentral:rRNA from 1 species